rnacentral:rRNA from 1 species
UUCGCAAUGCCCGAAAGGGUGACGAAGCGACGCCGCGUGUGGGAAGAAGGCCUUCGGGUUGUAAACCACUGUCGGGAGUUAGGAAAUGCAGGUGCGUUAAUAGCGUUCUUGCUUGACUAAGGCUCCGGAGGAAGCCACGGCUAACUCUGUGCCAGCAGCCGCGGUAAUACAGAGGCGGCAAGCGUUGUUCGGAAUUAUUGGGCGUAAAGAGCACGUAGGCGGCUGUGUAAGUCGGUUGUGAAAGCCUUCCGCUCAACGGAAGAACGGCAUCCGAUACUGCAUGGCUUGAGUGUGGGAGGGGAGAGUGGAACUUCUGGUGGAGCGGUGAAAUGCGUAGAUAUCAGAAGGAACACCGGCGGCGAAGGCGACUCUCUGGUCCAUAACUGACGCUGAGUGUGCGAAAGCUAGGGGAGCAAACGGGAUUAGAUACCCCGGUAGUCCUAGCCGUAAACGAUGGGCACUAAGUAGAGGGGUUUU